GGGGGUAUAGCUUAGUGGUAGAGCACUUGCCUAAUAUGCACCAGGCCCUGGGUUCAAUCCCCGGUCCUG
rnacentral:tRNA from 1 species